AUUGAACGCUGGCGGCAUGCUUUACACAUGCAAGUCGAACGGGACCUUCGGGUCUAGUGGCGCACGGGUGCGUAACACGUGGGAAUCUGCCCUUCGGUUCGGAAUAACAGUUAGAAAUGACUGCUAAUACCGGAUAAUGACGUAAGUCCAAAGAUUUAUCGCCGAAGGAUGAGCCCGCGUAGGAUUAGGUAGUUGGUGGGGUAAUGGCCUACCAAGCCGACGAUCCUUAGCUGGUCUGAGAGGAUGAUCAGCCACACUGGGACUGAGACACGGCCCAGACUCCUACGGGAGGCAGCAGUGGGGAAUAUUGGACAAUGGGCGAAAGCCUGAUCCAGCAAUGCCGCGUGAGUGAUGAAGGCCUUAGGGUUGUAAAGCUCUUUUACCCGGGAUGAUAAUGACAGUACCGGGAGAAUAAGCUCCGGCUAACUCCGUGCCAGCCGCCGCAGUAAGAC
rnacentral:rRNA from 1 species